AUAUAUAGCUCUUCUAAUAUUACAGCUUUUGAGAUAAAAUGGAAAGCCUCAUGGUUAAGCAUUUUAUAAUUAUCCUCAUCAAAUAUGCCACAAAUGUGAGAAAACAACUCUUUUUGUUUGCCUUCAGAUUAAAGUGUAAAGAAAAUGAAAAAAAGAAAGAAAGAAUAAAAGUAGAAUAAGGCAUUAAUACACAGGAUUAUUUACAUCAACCAAGGCAGCUAACACUCUCCUCUCUCUUAGAAAUGUUAUAGGUCACCAUUCAGGCCUCCAUUGUUAGAUCAUUCAUCACUGUGAAAUAAGCUUUUCAGCUAGUGCAAGCAGACAUCGAGUUACAUGCAUACCUGAAUGUUGUUUACCUAGGUAGUUGUGAUGUAAAGAACAAAAAAUGUCAUGGAUUUUCUGCCUUUGUAGGAAAAGGUUGAAGAACUUAUAAUAACUCUUUUACUGCAAGCAACCAGUGAAUAUCAGUAAGUCCAGUUCUAUAUGUCAAAUGGGGAUAAUUUCUUAAAACAAUAAGAUAUAAGCAAAAACCAAAGAGGACUUCACAGACUUUUGCAUGAUGCCCUCCACAUUAGUGCAUUCUAUUAUUGCUACUGCUGAUGAAACCAAUAAAAUUUUUCCAACAGAAUGACUGUCAUCAUAUGUAUAUUGUGAAACAAGUUGUGUUAUGAGCAGAAUUUUAUUACCUUGAUGGAAAAAUUAAUUUCUGAUUGAUCCAGCUACAGAGACAACUCAGCCUGUGCUAAUUCGAGUCUGAAGAAAGAAGGAAGAUUGUGUUAGGUAACUGACAGCAAGCACAAAACCUUGUCAGUCCAAAUAUAGGAGAAGAGUUGUUCUUGUCAUUGGUUUGAAUAGAGAGACCAGAGUCACUGUCACUAGCUGUAGCAAGGGACCAAAGAGCACCAAUUAGAACACCAAAGUAAUACGUUGCAAGUCAAGAGGAUUGAUGGUGAUGAGGUGCAUUUAUGUGGUGACAGAGAAGAGGAUGCUGCAAAGCAGUUUCACAAGGGAUAACUAGAGGGCCUCCUUGUCGCAACCACCACCAUGCAUGGCUUGCAAUGGAGCAGACUCAUCUUCUCUCCCCUUAUCAGUCAGCUGACUUCUUCGGGUUCUAAUUCCCCUUCUUCUCAAUUGUUAGCUCAGAAUUUGCUUGUUGGUGUGAGAGGAUGAAGCUGCCAGCAUGAUCUGGUCAUGGUUCAGAGUUACCAUAAGCAUUAGCUGUAGGAAGAUUACUUUGCCUCUUCUGCUUCAGUUAGAGAUGGCAGUAGAGAAAGACAAUGAUGAUCAACAAGAUAUGGUUACACAACAGGCAUAGAUCAAAGUGAUAGAAUCAAAGUCAGUAGAAAUUAGAUUAGCUAUCCAAAAGAUCUACAUGUAUCCCUACACCAAGAGAGAGGAGGGGGAAGAAGAGAACAUAUUUUGGUUUGAUUCAUCAGAUCAUCUGGCAGUUUCAACCACUCACUCAGCAACACAAGGCUGCAUGUCUGGUUCUCUCCCUGGCUGUUGCUCCAAAUUUACAGAGAAAGCUUACAAGAGGUACAAGUCUACUCAUCUUUUCUCCUAAUGCUAUAGUGUUAAUUGUUAUCUUUUCCUUCUUGAGCUUCCUAUUCAUAAUUCAUGCUGUUGAACUUUGCUGCUCACUGGUAUUUAUCAGCUGUGAAGAGUAUCUAACAUGGUGUAAGAAAUGAAUCAUAAAUUUUGAGGUAAGUAUUCUCUUAUCAUGUACUGCACUGUAUUUUCAAUGUGCAUGUACAUAUACACCAUAUUUACCCACCACUUUACAUUUCUAGCAUAGAAUAUAGAGUUGGACGAAAACAUGUGCCCUGUUCUAUGGUUUAGAGAAAUGGAAGGGUGAGACAGAAGGCAUGUUAGUACACAGGUAAUGUUGGUGGACCUGAUGAAAUGUAUGAAAAAUAACACCAUGACAUAUUGCUGUAGUCAUCAUAUGGUAUUUCAAAAAGUAUAACUACAUAGAAGCAUCAUCAUACCCAAGUGUCAGAAAUUAGUUUUACUAAUUUGAUAGCAGUGCCUCUAUCAGAAUCUGACAUAUAUAUAGUUGUGUAUUCCAUACAAGUUUUACCUAGAUGGUGAUAUACGAUGACAUAGAAGACACAUACUGAUAUACAUACAUCCUUAUCACAUGUGUGUAUAAAUAUAUAUGUAUAAUUCAUCCAAAUAUACUGCUUAGACUGGCAUAAAAUGUCACAUUUCAGGAGACCAUAGAAAAGAUAAGUAAUAUGAAAUAAUACAAUUUAAUUAUGAGCAAACUUACACAAAUUUUAGCAAAUGAACCUUUGCAUUCAUAUAAACUGUUAUCCCUGUAAAAUUUAGCUCAUUCUGCUUUUGGCUUCCAGCAUUUUGUCACAGUAAUAAUCAUAGACAGUCUUACAGAUCCAAUGCAAGUGCUCACACCAAAGACAGAAAGGUGGUAGGAAAAGGUACUUUCAAUAUUUUUAGCAAACUAAAGUCUAUUUGAUUCCAUGAUAAUCAGCAAUAUCACAGUAGUUGAAGCAACUCAAUGUAAAUUUCAAGGAGUUUCAAAGGGUAAGUUAAGCACAACUCACUUCAGUAUCAUACAAGGUUUUCUUGGCAGCUUUUCUGAAGCUUUUGGAACCUGAAGAAGAAGCUGAUAAUUAGUGAUCCCAAUACCAAUAUAUCAUGAUACCUAAAUAUGCUGAAGGAAUAAUAAAACAUUAUUCCUCUAAAUGUAUGAAGUUGCAAAUUUGAGUAUAAAUUGAGUCAGGUCAAGUGACUGUUGAGCCAUUAUUCUAUACAGUAUUUUUAAAAAUGCUAAGCGUCAAGGUUCCAAAAUGUCCGAGGCGUUAGGCGCUCACCUAGGUGCCUACUCGAGCGAAGCAAGACACUCUAAA
rnacentral:lncRNA from 1 species